GGUGAGUAACACGUGGGUGAUCUGCCCUGCACUUCGGGAUAAGCCUGGGAAACUGGGUCUAAUACCGGAUAGGACCACAUUUUGGAUGGUGUGGUGGAAAGUUUUUCGGUGUGGGAUGAGCUCGCGGCCUAUCAGCUUGUUGGUGGGGUAAUGGCCUACCAAGGCGUCGACGGGUAGCCGGCCUGAGAGGGUGUACGGCCACAUUGGGACUGAGAUACGGCCCAGACUCC
rnacentral:rRNA from 1 species